UCCGGUUUGUCACCGGCAGUCUCACUAGAGUGCCCUUUCGUAGCAACUAGUGACAAGGGUUGCGCUCGUUGCGGGACUUAACCCAACAUCUCACGACACGAGCUGACGACGGCCAUGCAGCACCUGUGUCCAGGUUCUCUUUCGAGCACUCUCACAUCUCUGCGAGAUUCCUGGCAUGUCAAGGGUAGGUAAGGUUUUUCGCGUUGCAUCGAAUUAAACCACAUCAUCCACCGCUUGUGCGGGUCCCCGUCAAUUCCUUUGAGUUUUAGCCUUGCGGCCGUAGUCCCCAGGCGGGGCACUCACUGCGUUAGCGGCGGCACCGCGGGAGUCAAAGCCCGCGACACCUAGCACCCAUCGUUUACGGCGUGGACUAC
rnacentral:misc_RNA from 1 species